rnacentral:lncRNA from 1 species
UUUGGGAAACUCUUCGAAUUUUAACAUUUGUUUAAUUCGUAUCUUUCCUGUCUUGUGAUUCUCAGGCUGCGGUGGAGGCGUGAGGUUCCUGCCGCAACACUGAUCCAGUGCGGUAUGUGACUCUGCGACUCCGGCAUUCGUUGGCAACACGUUUGGAGGGUGAAGGUGCGCAACGACACUCUUCGCCGGCCCAGGCCUCGUGUCAGCCUCGUUUCAGUUAUACCGUCCAAUAUGCGGAGUCCUAAUGGGGGUGCUCCCAAUACCGUCCCCGGUACAUCCUUCCCCCGAAAUCUCAUUCACUCGUUCGGUACCGCAGUCACAGGUCCUCCUUUCACCCGUACAUUAUCCACGAACGCUGUGGUGGGCUCCACCGCCGUGGGUCCGAUAUCCGCAUUCUGCAACUCACCCUCAGCCUCACAAGUAAUUCGCAUAUAGACUCCCAACGGGUUACGAAAACGUAAUAAAGUUUGCGAAAAAGAAAAAAGAAAAAGUUGAAGCAGGAAGUGGUUUGCUUAAUUAAGUACUCACAGUAGGAUCUCAAAUGAAUGAGGUGCCAUAGACCCAUUAUUAUUAUUAUUAUUAUUCUAUUUCUUCCUAAUAAUAUUUGUCUCUGCAGCAGGUCACGUGCUUUUUCAUCCAUUUCGCUCAUCAGUUCUAAACAACACUUUCUUGUGCCCUCCAUCCGAUGACGAAAG